rnacentral:rRNA from 1 species
AAUAGAUACCCGGGUAGUCCACGCCGUAAACGAUGAGUGCUAAGUGUUAGGGGGUUUCCGCCCCUUAGUGCUGCAGCUAACGCAUUAAGCACUCCGCCUGGGGAGUAUGGCCGCAAGGCUGAAACUCAAAGGAAUUGACGGGGGCCCGCACAAGCGGUGGAGCAUGUGGUUUAAUUCGAAGCAACGCGAAGAACCUUACCAGGUCUUGACAUCUCCUGACCGCCCUGGAGACAGGGUCUUCCCUUCGGGGACAGGAUGACAGGUGGUGCAUGGUUGUCGUCAGCUCGUGUCGUGAGAUGUUGGGUUAAGUCCCGCAACGAGCGCAACCCUUGUCCUUAGUUGCCAGCAUUCAGUUGGGCACUCUAAGGAGACUGCCGGCUAAAAGUCGGAGGAAGGUGGGGAUGACGUCAAAUCAUCAUGCCCCUUAUGACCUGGGCUACACACGUGCUACAAUGGGCGGUACAGAGGGUCGCGAACCCGCGAGGGGGAGCCAAUCCCAAAAAAACCCGCUCUCAGUUCGGAUUGCAGG